rnacentral:rRNA from 1 species
UACGGAGGAGGCAAGCGUUGUUCGGAAUUACUGGGCUUAAAGCGUGUGUAGGCGGGAUGGAAGGUAUCAUGUGAAAGCCCUCGGCUCAACCGAGGAAUUGCUUGGUAAACCACCAUUCUUGAGGCCAGCAGAGGUACCUGGAACUUUGGGUGGAGCGGUGAAAUGCGUAGAGAUCCAAAGGAACGCCGGUGGCGAAAGCGGGGUACUGGGCUGGUGCUGACGCUGAGACACGAAAGCGUGGGGAGCAAACAGGAUUAGAUACCCCGGUA